UACAGAGGUCUCAAGCGUUGUUCGGAUUCAUUGGGCGUAAAGGGUGCGUAGGCGGCGCGGUAAGUCGGGUGUGAAAUUUCGAGGCUUAACUUCGAAACUGCAUUCGAUACUGCCGUGCUAGAGGACUGGAGAGGAGACUGGAAUUUACGGUGUAGCGGUGAAAUGCGUAGAUAUCGUAAGGAAGACCAGUGGCGAAGGCGGGUCUCUGGACAGUUCCUGACGCUGAGGCACGAAGGCCAGGGGAGCAAAAGGG
rnacentral:rRNA from 1 species